AGCAGCCGCGGUAAUUCCAGCUCCAAUAGCGUAUAUUAAAGUUGUUGCAGUUAAAAAGCUCGUAGUUGAAUUUCGGGGUUAGUAGGUUGGUCAUGCCUCUGGUAUGUACUGGUCUCACUGAUUCCUCCUUCCUGAUGAGCCGUAAUGCCAUUAAUUUGGUGUUGCGAGGAAUUUGGACUGUUACUUUGAAAAAAAUUUAGAGUGUUUAAAGCAAGCUAACGCUUGAAUACAUUAGCAUGGAAUAAUGAAAUAGGACGUUCGAUCCUAUUUUGUUGGUUUCUAGGAUUGACGUAAUGAUUAAUAGGGAUAGUUGGGGGCAUUAGUAUUCAAUUGUCAGAGGUGAAAUUCUUGGAUUUAUUGAAGACUAACUACUGCGAAAGCAUUUGCCAAGGAUGUUUUCAUUAAUCAAGAACGAAAGUUAGGGGAUCGAAGACGAUCAGAUACCGUCGUAGUCUUAACCAUAAACUAUGCCGACUAGGGAUUGGAUGAUGUUAAUUUUUUAAUGACUCAUUCGGCGCCU
rnacentral:misc_RNA from 1 species